GAUGAAGAACGUAGCGAAAUGCGAUAAGUAGUGUGAAUUGCAGAAUUCAGUGAAUCAUCGAAUCUUUGAACGCACAUUGCGCCCUUUGGUAUUCCAAAGGGCAUGCCUGUUCGAGCGUCAUUUGUACCCUCAAGCUUUGCUUGGUGGUGGGCGUCUUGUCUCUAGCUUUGCUGGAGACUCGCCUUAAAGUAAUUGGCAGCCGGCCUACUGGUUUCGGAGCGCAGCACAAGUCGCACUCUCUAUCAGCAAAGGUCUAGCAUCCAUUAAGCCUUUUUUUCAACUUUUGACCUCGGAUCAGGUAGGGAUACCCGCUGAACUUAAGCAUAUCAAUAAGCGGAGGA
rnacentral:misc_RNA from 1 species